UACGUAGGGUGCGAGCGUUAAUCGGAAUUACUGGGCGUAAAGCGUGCGCAGGCGGAUGCUUAAGCCAGACGUGAAAUCCCCGGGCUUAACCUGGGAAUGGCGUUUGGGACUGGGUGUCUUGGAGUGCGGCAGAGGGAGGUGGAAUUCCUGGUGUAGCAGUGAAAUGCGUAGAUAUCAGGAGGAACACCGAUGGCGAAGGCAGCCUCCUGGGCCAGCACUGACGCUCAUGCACGAAAGCGUGGGGAGCAAACAGG
rnacentral:rRNA from 1 species